GUUUAGUAGAGUUUAUUAUUCGAAACACUUUAGGUGUUAUCAAACUCGUAUGAGAUCAGUUAAAACGGAGUUUUAUUCUAGUUUCAAAUAGACCCUGCAAACGGAGCUUUAUUCUAGUUUCUAACGCUGAUUACACACUAUGGCCGAAAAAAUCUACAAUUUAGAUUUUGCGAAAUAUGAUCAGGAUGAGCUCCACGCGGCACGAAUGAAUCCGUAUUUCUAAGGACCUAAGAGAAUCCUUUUAAAAUAAUGUUAUAUCCCUCAUAAGUCAUGUCCCUAGUUAAACUCUGGCGUGGACCCAAAAGUCCAAGUCUUGCUGGGGCCAAAGACAUUAAAUUAGUAGUAGAAAAUGAAUGCCAAUCCUUUCCCUUUUUGGCUAUAAAAUGGGUGAACCAUAAUGCCCUUUCCUUUUACCGAGAGAAAAAUGGCUUCAAGUAAGCUUCUUGUUGUUUUGCAAGUCAUUUCGAUCUGUAUCAUUCUCCUGGCUUUUCAGGUGGCUGCUAGAGAACUGGUCGAGAUUUCUAGCGCUCUAAAUCCUUAUCAUAAGAUGGAGAGCGAACUUGUUAACUCGGAUGAUCCUUGGGGCCACAACCCUCUAAAUGGAUUAUUUUGUCUCACAAAUUAAAAGCUUAAUUUGGGCCAAAGAGGUUGGUGGACAAGAUUUCCCGAUGUUUGCGUUCGAAUCUCGCUACUGUAUUGUACUAUUUUCUCUUUUAUUGUAAAAAAAGAAGUAAAAUUAUGAAAAUAAGUUGUUUGUAAAUCUGUUUGGAGAAUCUCACUAUUGCAAGCCACUACUAUACUGUACUAUUUUCUCUUUUAUAUUGUAAAAAAAAUGUGAAAUAAUAAAAAUUAGUUGUUUGUAAAUCUAUUGGAAAAACACUGUUUAGUCCAAUUGCAUC